UUGUUUUUAUUUUAUUCUUGCCAAAGAUGGCUGCAAUCUUCAGUUGUAUCAAGAUAACAAAAGUAAAAAAAGACAGAGGAAACAUGCUAGGUUGAAGGAGGCUAACAUGUAACAACACAAUGCAAGAUACUAUCUUGAAUUGGAUCCUGAACCAGAGGGAAAAAUAUUGCUAUUCAGGACAUUACUGUGGCUGGACACAGUGGCUCAUGCCUGUAAUCUCGGUACUUUGGGAGGCCAAGGUGGGCGAAUCACAAGGUCAGAAGUUUAAGACCAGCCUGGCCAACAUGGUGAAACUCCUUCUCUACUUAAAAAGAUUAGCUGGGCAUGGUGGCACUGUAGUCCUUGCUAUUCGGGAGGCUGAGGCAGAAGAAUCGCUUGAACUUGGGAGGCAAAAGUUUGCAGUGUGCCGAGAUUGUGCCACUGCACUCCAGCCUGGCAACAGAAAGCUAUAAUCCUUGGAUUGGUGAGCAGUAAAUUUGGUGUGACAAGAAUGUUGUCAUUGGUGGACCCUGAUGGAACACAGUCCAGCUCUCUUUCUGGCCUGAGGCCCUUGUUCCUCCUUCUGCUGACAGCAUGCUGUGAGUGUUAGUCAUCCAUGGCCCAGGCUCUCUCAGGGACUGCCGUUCACCUAAGGAAGCUGUGUGAUCCAAGCUCUAGCCCCUCCCUGAAGAGAAGCCAGCUCUAAUGGCUGAGGAGGUGGACUAUAUACCUGACUUCCUGCCUCAACUGACAAACUCCAAAGGACCAUCCUAGCUCCACAGCUGUCCGUGGGGCUGGCCAAGGCCUCUGUGCAACUGCAUCACAGUUCAUCUGCUGCCCAGCCCUGCUUCCCUCACUCCUCUCCCCUCAUAGGGAUGAUCCUGAGGGCACCCCCUAAAAGACCACCUGCAAGCUCAGCUCACCCAGAAUCCAUUUCCCGGGGAAGCCAGUCUUCAGCACAUGCCUUCUCCAAACACAUCAACUCACCCCCUGAACCCUAGGCUGCCCUACGACAUUGCUGCUCCUUCCUAUGGGAUGCAGACAGGAACAUUUCUGAUCCAUGAGGAACGUGAAUUUUUAAAUUCUGAUUUUAAAAAAAACAAAAACAACGUGUAUAGGACCUAACAGAAAUGAAUGAUUUCAAGCCCCUACUGCUAAAUUUGACACACAUACACACAAAAGGAUAUUUCUCAGACCCUCUUGUGGUACAAUGUCCUUUUUCAGGACAAAUUGAUCUUUAAUUAUUUUGUUUACUUAAAAAUUUUUUACAUAUGCAAAAUUAGAAUAAUGUAAUAUAAAGCCCCAAAGAUCCCCUCACCUGGCUCCAUCAAUUAUCUGUGACCAAUCUAUCUGCUUUGAUAUUUCAACUAUUCCCAC
rnacentral:lncRNA from 1 species